rnacentral:lncRNA from 1 species
AAAAUAAUUCACUAAGAGAAAAGAUUACAAGGUGAUUACCGACUCCACAGACUCGACCUCUCUUAACCUCCUAUCGCGCAAUCCUCCGGGUUGUCCACGCCCUCAUGUUCGAAUCCACGAACGCCACGUUCCGAAUCCACAAAACGCCUCCACUCCGAAUCCACGAAGCUCACGAUCCGAAUCCACGAACCGCCGUCAAUCACGCCGAAUCCACGACGCAGUCAUGAAAAGCAUCAU